UAGUAUUUUCAUUUUUCAAUUGUUGUCUUUUCAUUUAAAAAAAACAAUUUAGGAAAUUCUGUUAAUUGGAAAAUUUUCAAUUCUGCACCGACAUGUAAUCUCCCUAUAUAUAGGUCACGAUGUAAUUUUUAAAAGGUAUCAAAUAAAGUUCAAAGUUUUCCCCUACUGAAAUCAGAGGGCUAAAUUCCCGCGUUGUUCCAGUUUUCGGUCCGGAAUCCGCAUCUCCACUGCUCCGUUCUGACCAAUCUCAUCAUGGAAUCAAAUGCCAGCUCUUGGAGAAUACUUCAUGUACCUACGAUCUUUUCCAACUCCGAAUUUAGUACUUCCGUUGGAAUUCCUCAAAGCUACGUAGUGGUAGCGCUGCUCCGUCUCUCAAUCAAAUUAAGAUCGAACUCCGAUCUGUUGAUCGGAGACUUCCAUCCUCGGACAGGUGAUCUGCAUUUAUUCCAAAGAAGUUUUAAUUUAGUCUCCCAAAAUCUAAAUCGUUAACACUCCGAUCUUGGAUCGGGGACGAUUUAGACAAAUUAGGUCAUUACUUAUAAACAAUUCCCUAAAUUCGAUUUAGAUGUGUUAGUAGUCGAUGUAGAGGCGAUGACAGGUGAUUCGGUUAGCGGAGUGCUGGACGACGUGAGCUCUAAAUCUAAGAAAAUGAGGACCCAAGUGAAUCGAUCCGAGAAGCGGUCCGCCCAGUAGAUAUCAGGACUUUAUCACCCAGUACCGGCCUAGUCGCUAAUGCAUAUUAAACAGGUUUUAUUAUCUUAUGUUUUAAUUCCUAGUUUAAGGAUUAGUAUUUUUCUUUUAUGUUUAUCGUUUUUUUGGGAAGUGAUGAGGAACAAAAUAUCCUACCAGCGCUCGCGGUGGUGCGAACGGCUACCUUCUCGUGCCGAAGGCUCUGAGAUCCACAACGCAUGCUCUACGUCAAGUCUUCCGGAAGGAAAUCGACGAUUUCUCCGUGAUUCACGCUCUAAAAAGGAUGAAACUGAUACCUUUGGAUUGAGCUCGGGUCCCUUUUUAUAGGAUCUCUGGGGGCAUAAUCCGUGACGGAGAUCGUGCCCGACCAUAAUGGCAGUCGUUACGACCAUUAUGGCUCGGGCUGAACAGGAGUAAUGCUCCGAAAUCGACGAUUUGGAAGUGAAAUCGACGAAUUUAAAGGGGAAGAUCGACAGUCUGCCAGACUCUGACGAUCUUCUCCUCAACUCGACGAUUUAAUUGCCGCCCCAAUCAACGAUUUGG
rnacentral:lncRNA from 1 species